UACGUAGGGGGCAAGCGUUAUCCGGAUUUACUGGGUGUAAAGGGAGUGUAGGCGGUAAGGUAAGUCAGAUGUGAAAGCCCAAGGCUCAACCAUGGGACUGCAUUUGAAACUACCUGACUUGAGUAUCGGAGAGGUAAGUGGAAUUCCUAGUGUAGCGGUGAAAUGCGUAGAUAUUAGGAGGAACACCAGUGGCGAAGGCGGCUUACUGGACGAAGACUGACGCUGAGGCUCGAAAGCGUGGGGAGCGAACCGG
rnacentral:rRNA from 1 species